rnacentral:rRNA from 1 species
CCUACGGGAGGCAGCAGUGAGGAAUAUUGGUCAAUGGCCGGAAGGCUGAACCAGCCAAGCCGCGUGAAGGACGAAGGUGCCAAGCAUUGUAAACUUCUUUUGUCAAGGGACAAAAUCAGGCUCGAGAGCCUGACCGAGGGUACUUGAAGAAAAAGCAUCGGCUAACUCCGUGCCAGCAGCCGCGGUACUACGGAGGGUGCGAGCGUUGUCCGGAUUUAGUGGGUUUAAAGGGUGCGUAGGGGGACUGUGAAGUCAGCGGUAAAAGCCCGGGGCUCAACCCCGGCGAGCCGUUGAAACUGGCUGUCUUGAGAUGUCGAGAGGUAUGCGGAAUGCGCAGUGUAGCGGUGAAAUGCUGAGAUAUGGCGCAGAACGCCGAUUGCGAAGGCAGCAUACCGGCGGCGAUCUGACGCUGAGGCACGAAAGCGUGGGUAUCGAACAGGAUUAGAUACCCUUGUAGUC